rnacentral:misc_RNA from 1 species
CAACUCAGACAGGCCAUCGAUUA